AACCCAUGGUGAGGGCAUCUUUGCAAAUGGUCCUUAUAUCUAUCCCAUGCAUCGUAGAGUGUCUUUAAAUCCAUCUGCACAAAAGAAGAGAUAUCAUUACGUAAUUU
rnacentral:snoRNA from 1 species